UACGAAGGGGGCUAGCGUUGCUCGGAAUCACUGGGCGUAAAGCGUGCGUAGACGGUUAUGUAAGUCAGGUGUGAAAGCCCCGGGCUCAACCUGGGAAUUGCAUUUGAGACUGCAUAGCUAGGGUGCGGAAGAGGGAAGCGGAAUUUCCGGUGUAGCGGUGAAAUGCGUAGAUAUCGGAAGGAACAUCAGUGGCGAAAGCGGCUUCCUGGUCCAGCACCGACGUUCAGGCACGAAAGCGUGGGGAGCAAACAGG
rnacentral:rRNA from 1 species